CAUGGCUUCACACUCAUUUCCUCUGUCUUUUCUUUCUUUAUGUGUAUCCCCAGGAUGGGAGAACAGUUCGAAGGCCCCUGGGAUCACUGGGGAGCUCAAUAGGCAGCUCACAUUUCUGUGUCACUUUAAGGCUGACAAAGUGCUUAAAACUGUGAAAGUGGGAGUUCUAGUUUCACAGAGAAGGGACCUGAAAGAUAUGAAGUGGCUUGCUCAAGGACAUCAAGCUAGAAAGUUUCGGAGCUAGGCCUGAAAUCCAGGUUUCAGGAUUUUAAGUGCAACGUUCUUUUCACUUUAGCACCCUCUCUCCUCUUCCACCCCUUAGUUUCUCUUUAACUAACCACCCAGAUGAAAUACAGCACAAUCUCCCGCUGUGGAGGCUAGCCCUCCUCACAGAUAUACUGUCACAUCUUCCAGGGAUUGUCUGUUCCCAAAUUCUUUGCCUAAGAGAUGAAAGAUCUGAUUUUUGAAAGUCAUCUUGCUCUCUAGGGACUAACACCAUGAACCUUGGAAAGUGAAACUCGGCCUAGACUUUUUAUUUACCCAAGAAAUGAGGCCAUCAAAUAAGGAGACCUGCUCAGUGUCCAUGGAGCAAAUCCUUUCUGAAUUAAAAAUGAAAAAGAAUCCAAUUAAAAUCAGUUAGCUUUGUCACUGAAGGUUGAACAGGGUCAGUGCCGAGCUCCCUCUCCUGGACAAAAGCUGCACCAACAGGAGAAAGACUCAGGCCAGCCUCAGGAGGGCAGAUUCUUCCUGACCUGCCUUCCCAUUUCUUCAGUGGUUUCUGAACAGAUUCUCUCUCACCAGAAGACCCCUUGAAAUAUCGUCUAAAUUAUUUCCUCCUCCCCAGAUCUUCAGCGGCUCUCUAAUGCCUCUAGGAUAAAACACAAAUUCCUGUCUGCCGGCUUUCUCUCCCAUUAAGUCCUCUGUGCUCACAGCUCCUGACAAACUGGCCUAGAAGCUACGUGCUGAUCUCAUCCGGCCUCCCCCAGCCUCUGGGCACUCAUGAAGGCCAUCCCUCACUUCUGGAGAAGGGGAGAGAAUACCGGAUUUGCAAUCAGUGGACUGGAAGUUAAAUCCGGUCUCUAUACUUAUAUUUCUAGCGUAAUGGAAAGCACAUGGGAUUUGCAGAGAAAGGACCUGGGUUUGAAAUCUGGCUCAAUCAUGCCUAGCACUUGCCUGGGACAUAAAAGUUGGCUGACUGCAUCUCCUUCAGUUAUAUUCUUCUUACUGAGGAACAAGAGGAAUUUCCAGUUCAGAUACGACAUGGUUGUACAAGGGAGAAAAAUGGACCAACCACUGUGGAAGCUUAAUGCAGGAGACCGUACGUGGUCAGGAUCAUCCUCUUUUAUGGAAUGGAGCAAGUAGUUAAUUAACUAAAUGGGACCAUGACUUUCAGCAGAGGCAGUGGCAGAGGCUGCUGAAAGGGAAAUGAAAAGCAGGCAGUGAACAAAGGUAGGAGAGAAGCCCUAGAUUAUCUAAGAACAUUUCUGCCUGGAAAGCAGUGCCAGGGAAAAUCCCAUGCUGCCUGUGAUAUGGAAGCCAUCAGAUCCAGAGUAAUGGAGCUAUUGCUUGCAAGGGAAAUAAAG